ACAAACAAAUCAAACCCCAAAACCCUCCAGGAGUAGGAGUCUGUAGGACCCAUUUCUUCCAAGAAAAACAAAAAGGUUCAAUCUAGUCACUUUUGAAACCCAGCACCAGAGUCACAGCUCACCACCUCAACUCUGUACGUACUGAGUUCAUUGUCACGACUCAGUAAGUACAAAAUCCUAUGGGCACUAUAGGAGGUGGUGGCGGUGGUUCAGGAGGGCAUUGCUGCAUUUUUGCCAAGUUGAAAUGUGGACCAUUCCAUCGUUUAAUAGUGACAGCUUCAAACAAUUCUUAGAAUCAUUGUUAAUGAGUAAUGUAGGUAUUUUUUUUUUUGUAUAUGUUACCUUCUAAAUCUUCUCACCUGAUUGUUGCAUUAAAAAUUUCCACGAAAUGUUUAGAAUCAUUGUUAAUGAGUAAUGUAGGUUUGUUUUAGCCUUCACCAAUUAAUAGUGCGUUUGUAUAAGUCAUUGAAAAACUAUUUUUUGAGUUUAAAAUAGGCAUUUGUAAAAAUGAUAUGAGGAAUUGUGAUUAUAAAAUAGAGUUUUAAAUUUUAAAAAUGCUCUUUUAAUUAAUCUCCCCACUACAACAAAGUUGACUUUUUUCAAGGGUCAAAAUCCUUGAAAAAUGUAUCAAAAAACCUUGAGAAAACUUAUUUUAAAGCACACAGGACUGACGGGCUCGUGUUGGCCGGCAUAUCGGCUCCAUCUUCUGAAGGAGAGAAAGAGGGAGAGGGAGAGGAAGAGAUUCUCUCUCCUCAUCAUGCUGGUAGCUUUUCUAAUUCUUUCAUGGAGACUUAUCCUUAUUUUCUGGCAUGGCAAUAUGAAGUGAUGAAUCCUGAUGGAACAUAUAGUUCCAUGCCUUUGGAUAGGCCAGAGCAUACCUUGAACAUCCCUUGGCCUGAUUCGGUUGAUGUUGAUCUUGAGGAGGAAAGUAUGCAAAUGAUCAGAGGCUUGCAACUGUUGGCUCGUACUUAGUCUUCCCAAUACGUGAUCAAUGAGGCGAGUUGGGUGAGUCGAAUGGAAGGAGCUGAUUCCACCAGAAGAACUUUGGAGGAAAGGAUCAGAAACCUUGAACUUAAGAACUGUUAGUAUAAUCCUUAAUUCUAUGCAAGUCAAUAGGGAAAUACUGAAGGUGGCUCCUCUAGAGUUGGGUUGAGGAGGUCUUAGAGCAGGCAGAUUCAGAGUCCUAAUGAUGUUUGAUUUGUAUUUUUUAAUUUUUCCUGCAAAACAAAAGGAAGUGUUCUUUAGACAAUCUUGUAUUAAUUUCCAUGUUUAGCUCUUUGCCCUUGGAAUGGCCUUGGAUCUUGUAGAAACUUUAACUGAGACAAGUUUAGAAUUCACUUAAUGAGGUCUUGUAAUACCAAUUUAAACUUAUCUUGAUUGGUUCUGAUGGAAUCUGCACUUACUUGAAUGAGGCGGAGCCAAAU